rnacentral:ncRNA from 1 species
UGUUUCGCCCGCAAGGGCGUAUGGUGGAUGCCUUGGCAGACGGGACCGAUGAAGGACGUGUGAGACCGCGAUAGGCCUCGGGGAGCCGUCAACAGGGCUUCGAUCCGAGGAUCUCCGAAUGGGGGAACCCGGCCGCCGUUGUGGGCGGUCACCGCACUUCGGUGCGGGGGGUACGCAGGGAAGUGAAACAUCUCAGUACCUGCAGGAAAGGAUACUCCGUGAGUAGUGGCGAGCGAAAGCGGAUCAGGCCAAACCUUUGCCGUGUGGUACCCGUCGGGGGUUGCGGCAGGGGUGUUGUGGGAACGCGUGCGCCGGCUCCGACGGGCCGGCCGGCGGUGAUAAAUCCAUGUGCGAGGGGAACCGGGUUGGAUACCGGGCCGUAGAGGGUGAUGGCCCCGUACCCGAACGCGCAUGGACCGCCGAUUCGCGUCUCCCAAGUAGCACGGGUCCCGUGGAACCCCGUGUGAAUCCGCCCAGACCGUUGGGUAAGCCUAAGUAUUCCCGUCUGACCGAUAGCGUACUAGUACCGUGAGGGAAAGGUGAAAAGCACCCCGGGAGGGGAGUGAAAGAGUUCCUGAAACCGUGCGCCUACAAACCGUCGGAGCCUUUAGGGGUGACGGCGUGCCUAUCGAAAAAUGAGUCUGCGAGUCAGUGGCGGGUGGCAAGCGUAAGCCGUGUGGCGGACGCGUAGCGAAAGCGAGUCUUAAAAGGCGUUUGAGUCGCUCGUCCUGGACCCGAAGCGGGAUGAUCUAGCCCUGGGCAGGUUGAAGCGCGGGUAAGACCGCGUGGAGGACCGCACCCACCUGGGUUGAAAACCGGGGGGAUGACCUGGGGCUAGGGGUGAAAGGCCAAUCAAAUUCCGUGAUAGCUGGUUCUCUCCGAAAUGCAUUUGGGUGCAGCGUCGGGUGAGUACAUCCGGGGGGUAGAGCUACUGGAUGCUUGAGGGCCCG